GCUCAGUGUGACGGACAGCUGCACUGUGACAACGGGGAGGACGAGCUUGGCUGUGUGCGUCUGAGUGGGAGCAGCUCUGUCCUGCAGGUGCAGCGGGGGGGUGUCUGGAGGACGGUGUGCUCCGAGGGCUGGAACAACGUGCUGGGGGUGUCGGCCUGCAGGCAGCUGGGAUACUCCAGGUAUGUGGAGUCCUUCUUCGUGUCUCUGACCUCCAUCGCGCAAGAUCUCCAAGACAACCUGGUGUCCAUCAACCUGAGCCAGGCACAGACCAUUAAGCUCCAUAAUGCCACAGC